GCAUGGUAACAUGGCCACGAAAAGCACCAUCUGCAAAGAGUAGAGACAUCAAUGUUGUAUUUUUAUUGAUUGAUCUUGGAUAGUAAGUCAAUAACUUCUUCUUGUCGUUUCUUAGGAAUCAACACUUUUUAUGAGAACUUUAACCAUUUGUUAUUAAGUUCUUCAAACAGUCUCAUGCUUCCUGGUUGCUUGUGUUUUGGAGCUGUGAAGUAUUGAAUGUUAUGUCAGCAGGUUUUAAUAAGCUUACAAGGCUGAAGCCAAAAAUUGCUUCAUUACUUCAACAUGAACUAUAUCAAAAGAUAAAUCUCCAAGUAAAUGGGUUGUUAAAGACAGUACCAAAUGAUAUUGUGAAGCCAAUUUAUGCUUUGAGUGGUUUGGUUCCUCCAUCACCAAGUUUUCCCGAAAUUAAAACAAAAAAUGAUAUUGCUCAUAUGAGAAUGGCGUGCAAGAUUGCCAGAAAAGUUCUGAAUAUAGCAAGAGAUUUUGUCAAGGUAGGUGUAUCAACUGAAGAAAUCGACGAAGUCGUUCACAAUGCCUCCAUUGAAUAUGGUGUGUAUCCUUCACCACUGAACUAUAAAGGCUUUCCCAAAUCUGUAUGCACUUCUUUGAACGAUGUUGUUUGUCAUGGUAUACCAGACAGAACAAUUCUUAAGGAUGGAGAUAUAAUCAACGUAGAUGUCUCGGUCUUUGUGAACGGUUUUCAUGGAGAUUUAUCUGAGACUUUCCUAAUUGGUGAUGUAGAUAUGGCUGGACGACGACUUGUUACUGUCACAAAGGAAUGUCUUGACGCGGCCAUCUUAGUUUGUAAGGAUAGCGAGCCUUUUUCAAUCAUUGGCAAAAUAAUCAGUUCCAUUGCUAACAAAAACGGAUUUAAUGUUGUACCGCAUUUCAUUGGUCAUGGUAUCGGCACAUAUUUUCAUGGUCCUCCUGAUAUUUUACAUUUUAACAAUGAAAAUCCUGGUAGAAUGAAAUCAGGGAUGACAUUCACAAUCGAGCCAAUUCUUAUUGAGGGGCAUACAGAUUUUGAGAUUUUAGAAGAUGGUUGGACGUGUGUAUCAUCGGAUGGUACCAGAUCAGCGCAGUUUGAACAUACCAUACUCGUGACCGACUCUGGAGCUGAAAUACUUACUGCUGAUGACACCACGUGACUUUUCCGUAUGUUGGUACUUAUGUCGUUUUGUUGCUGAAAUGCGAAGAAACAUUUAAAGAACGGAACCAUCUUCAAAUCAACCAAACACAAGCAAUACUUUGCGGCAGACAAGACGAACGAGGAAGAAGACGGCAAAGUAAACGCAAAGAAUUUUUUGGUUUCUUGAUUCUUGAAGCAUAACGAUGAAGUUGAUAACAGCAACGUUCGUUUUGAUGCUUGUUGUUCUUUCCUUUGGUGCUGAUGAGCCAAAGGUGGGAGAGUACUGUUCAUGUGAAGGUACAGGUCUUGGAUUUCCAUGGAAAUAUGACUGUCCAUCUCCGUAUCAUCCAAAGUGCAAGAGUAGCCUUCCUUCUCCGUACGUUUGCUGCAAAUUGAGGUUGGAUGAAAAAAAAUUGAGUUUGUGAGUCCCUGGCAUUUAAUCAUAUAAUCAUGUUCAAUUAACAAAUAGAGUCCGAAAAUAUAGUCAUGUUAAAUUGAGAAAUAAAAUCCUGAAGCAUA